UUAAAUUGAAGAGUUUGAUCAUGGCUCAGAUUGAACGCUGGCGGCAGGCCUAACACAUGCAAGUCGAACGGUAACAGGAAGCAGCUUGCUGCUUUGCUGACGAGUGGCGGACGGGUGAGUAAUGUCUGGGAAACUGCCUGAUGGAGGGGGAUAACUACUGGAAACGGUGGCUAAUACCGCAUAACGUCGCAAGACCAAAGAGGGGGACCUUCGGGCCUCUUGCCAUCAGAUGUGCCCAGAUGGGAUUAGCUUGUUGGUGAGGUAACGGCUCACCAAGGCGACGAUCCCUAGCUGGUCUGAGAGGAUGACCAGCCACACUGGAACUGAGACACGGUCCAGACUCCUACGGGAGGCAGCAGUGGGGAAUAUUGCACAAUGGGCGCAAGCCUGAUGCAGCCAUGCCGCGUGUAUGAAGAAGGCCUUCGGGUUGUAAAGUACUUUCAGCGGGGAGGAAGGUGUUGUGGUUAAUAACCGCAGCAAUUGACGUUACCCGCAGAAGAAGCACCGGCUAACUCCGUGCCAGCAGCCGCGGUAAUACGGAGGGUGCAAGCGUUAAUCGGAAUUACUGGGCGUAAAGCGCACGCAGGCGGUCUGUCAAGUCGGAUGUGAAAUCCCCGGGCUCAACCUGGGAACUGCAUUCGAAACUGGCAGGCUUGAGUCUUGUAGAGGGGGGUAGAAUUCCAGGUGUAGCGGUGAAAUGCGUAGAGAUCUGGAGGAAUACCGGUGGCGAAGGCGGCCCCCUGGACAAAGACUGACGCUCAGGUGCGAAAGCGUGGGGAGCAAACAGGAUUAGAUACCCUGGUAGUCCACGCCGUAAACGAUGUCUACUUGGAGGUUGUGCCCUUGAGGCGUGGCUUCCGGAGCUAACGCGUUAAGUAGACCGCCUGGGGAGUACGGCCGCAAGGUUAAAACUCAAAUGAAUUGACGGGGGCCCGCACAAGCGGUGGAGCAUGUGGUUUAAUUCGAUGCAACGCGAAGAACCUUACCUGGUCUUGACAUCCACAGAACUUUCCAGAGAUGGACUGGUGCCUUCGGGAACCGUGAGACAGGUGCUGCAUGGCUGUCGUCAGCUCGUGUUGUGAAAUGUUGGGUUAAGUCCCGCAACGAGCGCAACCCUUAUCCUUUGUUGCCAGCGAUUAGGUCGGGAACUCAAAGGAGACUGCCAGUGAUAAACUGGAGGAAGGUGGGGAUGACGUCAAGUCAUCAUGGCCCUUACGACCAGGGCUACACACGUGCUACAAUGGCGCAUACAAAGAGAAGCGACCUCGCGAGAGCAAGCGGACCUCAUAAAGUGCGUCGUAGUCCGGAUUGGAGUCUGCAACUCGACUCCAUGAAGUCGGAAUCGCUAGUAAUCGUGGAUCAGAAUGCCACGGUGAAUACGUUCCCGGGCCUUGUACACACCGCCCGUCACACCAUGGGAGUGGGUUGCAAAAGAAGUAGGUAGCUUAACCUUCGGGAGAGCGCUUACCACUUUGUGAUUCAUGACUGGGGUGAAGUCGUAACAAGGUAACCGUAGGGGAACCUGCGGUUGGAUCACCUCCUUA
rnacentral:rRNA from 1 species